ACUCUUUUGUAGUUCCUAAGUGUGAUGAUUAGGUGUUCAUGUGAACGUGUGAAAUGUGCCACCCUCAAACCUUGUUACAAUGUGGGCAUAUUUACCCGUCUGACA